UCAGAAAAUAGUUUAGAAUAGAACGGCAGCUUUGGGAGUUGUUAGUGCAGGUAUUGAAUCCUGUUUUUCUGA
rnacentral:tRNA from 1 species